rnacentral:rRNA from 1 species
CCUACGGGAGGCUGCAGUGGGGAAUAUUGGACAAUGGGCGAAAGCCUGAUCCAGCCAUGCCGCGUGUGUGAAGAAGGCCUUCGCGUUGUAAAGCACUUUCAGUGGGGAAGAAAGCCUUGGGGCUAAUACCCUCGAGGAAGGACAUCACCCACAGAAGAAGCACCGGCUAACUCCGUGCCAGCAGCCGCGGUAAUACGGAGGGUGCGAGCGUUAAUCGGAAUUACUGGGCGUAAAGCGCGCGUAGGCGGUCUGAUAAGCCGGUUGUGAAAGCCCCGGGCUCAACCUGGGAACGGCAUCCGGAACUGUCAGGCUAGAGUGCAGGAGAGGAAGGUAGAAUUCCCGGUGUAGCGGUGAAAUGCGUAGAGAUCGGGAGGAAUACCAGUGGCGAAGGCGGCCUUCUGGACUGACACUGACGCUGAGGUGCGAAAGCGUGGGUAGCAAACAGGAUUAGAUACCCGGGUAGUC